rnacentral:rRNA from 1 species
UGAAUACGAGACGCUACGGCGUCGAAGCAGUCUAUGUCAUACUUCCAAGAAAAGCUUGCACUGUCAUAAACAAAUAAUGCCUGUACCAUAACCGACACAGGUGGGUAGGUAGAGUAUACUAAGGGGCGCGAGAUAACUCUCUCUAAGGAACUCGGCAAAAUGACUCCGUAACUUCGGGAGGAGGAGUGCCUUAUUUAUAAGGUUGCAAUAACAAGAUCCAAGCAACUGUUUAUCAAAAACACAGGUCUCCGCUAAGUCGUAAGACGAUGUAUGGGGGCUGACGCCUGCCCAGUGCCAGAAGGUUAAAGAAGUUGGUUAGCAUUAGCGAAGCUGAUAACUGAAGCCCUGGUGAACGGCGGCCGUAACAAUAACGGUCCUAAGGUAGCGAAAUUCCUUGUCGGGUAAGUUCCGACCCGCACGAAAGGCGUAAUGAUUUGGAUACUGUCUCGGAGAGGGGCUCGGUGAAAUAGACUUGUCUGUGAAGAUGCGGACUACCUGCACCUGGACAGAAAGACCCUAUGAAGCUUUACUGUAACCUGAAAUUGAAAUUGGACUUUAUUUGCGCAGUAUAGGUGGGAGGCGUUGAGAAUAUUCUUGCGGGAAUAUUGGAGCCAUCAGUGAGAUACCACUCUGUAAUGUUAGAUUUCUAACUUUGAAUCAUUAUCUGGUCAAAGAACAGUUUCAGGCGGGCAGUUUGACUGGGGCGGUCGCCUCCUAAAUGGUAACGGAGGCGCACAAAGGUUUCCUCUGAACGGGUAGAAAUCGUAUCUAGAGUGUAAAGGCAUAAGGAAGCUUGACUGUGAGACCUACAAGUCGAGCAGGGACGAAAGUCGGUCUUAGUGAUCUGACGGUGCUGAGUGGAAAGGCCGUCACUCAACGGAUAAAAGUUACUCUAGGAUAACAGGCUGAUCUCCCCCAAGAGUUCACAUCGACGGGGAGGUUUGGCACCUCGAUGUCGGCUCAUCGCAUCCUGGGGCGGUAGUACGUCCCAAGGGUUGGGCUGUUCGCCCAUGAAAGCGGUACGCGAGCUGGGUUCAGAACGUCGUGAGACAGAUCGGUCCAUAUCCGGUGUAGGCGUUAGAAUAUUGAGAGGAGCCUUCUUUAGUACGAGAGGACCGAGAAGGACAUACCUCUGGUGUACCAGUUAUCGUGCCAACGGUAAACGCUGGGUAGCUAUGUAUGGAGAGGAUAACCGCUGAAAGCAUCUAAGUGGGAAGCCCACCUCAAGAUAAGUAUUC